GAUGAACGCUGGCGGCGUGCCUAACACAUGCAAGUCGAGCGAUUCUCUUCGGAGAAGAGCGGCGGACGGGUGAGUAACGCGUGGGUAACCUGCCCUGUACACACGGAUAACAUACCGAAAGGUAUGCUAAUACGAGAUAAUAUGCUUUUAUCGCAUGGUAGAAGUAUCAAAGCUCUGGCGGUACAGGAUGGACCCGCGUCUGAUUAGCUAGUUGGUAAGGUAACGGCUUACCAAGGCGACGAUCAGUAGCCGACCUGAGAGGGUGAUCGGCCACAUUGGAACUGAGACACGGUCCAAACUCCUACGGGAGGCAGCAGUGGGGAAUAUUGCACAAUGGGCGAAAGCCUGAUGCAGCAACGCCGCGUGAGCGAUGAAGGCCUUCGGGUCGUAAAGCUCUGUCCUCAAGGAAGAUAAUGACGGUACUUGAGGAGGAAGCCCCGGCUAACUACGUGCCAGCCGCCGCCGUAA
rnacentral:rRNA from 1 species